CCCUGCCAUUUGUACACACCGCCCGUCGCACCUACCGAUUGAAUGAUUCGGUGAAACUUUCGGACCGUGGUCUGGACGCCUCACGGCGACUAGAUCGUGGGAAGUUAUUUAAACCUCAUCAUUUAGAGGAAGGUGAAGUCGUAACAAGGU
rnacentral:rRNA from 1 species